AUUGAACGCUGGCGGCAUGCUUUACACAUGCAAGUCGGACGAGUGGCGAACGGGUGAGUAAUAUAUUGGAACGUACCGAGUAAUGGGGGAUAACCAAUCGAAAGAUUGGCUAAUACCGCACAUUAUUCGAGCGGCCACUAUCGGAUUCGCUAGUUGGUGGGGUAAAGGCCUACAAAGGCGACGUUCAGUAGCGGGUCUGAGAGGAUGAUCGGCAACACUGGAAGUGCGACACGGCCCAGACUCCGACGGGCGGCGGCAGUGGGGAGUGUUGGACAAUGGGCGAAAUCCUGAUCCAGCCAUGCCGCGUGUCGGAAGAAGGCCUUCGGGUUGUAAAGGACUUUUGGUAGGGAGGCGGUACCUAAAGAAUAAGCACCGGCUAACUACGUGCCAGCAGCCGCGGUAAUAC
rnacentral:rRNA from 1 species